rnacentral:rRNA from 1 species
AGAGUUUGAUCCUGGCUCAGGAUGAACGCUAGCGGGAGGCUUAACACAUGCAAGUCGAGGGGUAACAGGUUGGAAUUUCGGUUUCGACGCUGACGACCGGCGAACGGGUGAGUAACGCGUAUGCAACCUACCUUUUACAGGGGAAUAGCUUUCGGAAACGGAAAUUAAUACCCCAUAACGCUGCACUGUGGCAUCACAGAGCAGUUAAAACUCCGGUGGUAAAAGAUGGGCAUGCGUAACAUUAGCUAGUUGGUAAGGUAACGGCUUACCAAGGCUGCGAUGUUUAGGGGACCUGAGAGGGUGAUCCCCCACACUGGUACUGAGACACGGACCAGACUCCUACGGGAGGCAGCAGUGAGGAAUAUUGGUCAAUGGGCGCAAGCCUGAACCAGCCAUCCCGCGUGCAGGAAGACGGCCCUAUGGGUUGUAAACUGCUUUUUCUGAAGGAAGAAUAAUUCCGAGUUUUUCGGGAGAUGACGGUACUUCAGGAAUAAGCAUCGGCUAACUCCGUGCCAGCAGCCGCGGUAAUACGGAGGAUGCAAGCGUUAUCCGGAUUUAUUGGGUUUAAAGGGUGCGUAGGCGGGCUAAUAAGUCAGUGGUGAAAUCUCUCGGCUCAACCGGGAAACUGCCAUUGAUACUGUUAGUCUUGAGUUCGGUUGAGGUAGGCGGAAUGUGUAAUGUAGCGGUGAAAUGCUUAGAUAUUACACAGAACACCAAUUGCGUAGGCAGCUUACUAGACCGACACUGACGCUGAGGCACGAAAGCGUGGGGAGCGAACAGGAUUAGAUACCCUGGUAGUCCACGCCGUAAACUAUGAUUACUCGUUGUUGGCGAUACACAGUCAGCGACCAAGCGAAAGCGAUAAGUAAUCCACCUGGGGAGUACGCUCGCAAGAGUAAAACUCAAAGGAAUUGACGGGGGCCCGCACAAGCGGUGGAACAUGUGGUUUAAUUCGAUGAUACGCGAGGAACCUACCUGGGCUUAAAUGUAGAGUGCAUAAGUGGGAAACCAUUUUUUCCUUCGGGACUCUUUACAAGGUGCUGCAUGGUUGUCGUCAGCUCGUGCCGUGAGGUGUCGGGUUAAGUCCCAUAACGAGCGCAACCCUUAUCAUUAGUUGCCAUCGGGUAAUGCCGGGGACUCUAAUGAAACUGCCACCGUAAGGUGAGAGGAAGGUGGGGAUGACGUCAAAUCAGCACGGCCCUUAUGUCCAGGGCUACACACGUGUUACAAUGGUCGGUACAGAGGGCAGCUACCUGGUGACAGGAUGCCAAUCUCUAAAGCCGGUCCAAGUUCGGAUCGAAGUCUGCAACUCGACUUCGUGAAGCUGGAAUCGCUAGUAAUCGUAUAUCAGCAAUGAUACGGUGAAUACGUUCCCGGGCCUUGUACACACCGCCCGUCAAGCCAUGGAAGC